CCCUGGUGCCUCCCUACGCCGCUCCCUGCUGGACGAUCGCUGCCCCCACCCUGCUAGACGCCAUCGCCCCCUCCAGGAACAGACAAGGUACGAUGCCGGAGACAUCACUGCCGUGAGCUCUGCACAGGAUCCCACUGUCCGGCUGCUGGAUGGCCAAGGCCGUCUUGGGAGCAGUGUAUCUCAUAGAUUGUUGUACCAAGGAUAUUGCAUGCUCAAACAUGAGAAUUUGAAAGUCUCAUAUUUGUUAGUGAGCUUGCAUCCUGAUGGCUUCCAUUGAACACUAGAUCAGCGGUUGAUGGAAUGGGGUGUGCACAUAGCCAUUCAGGACAAGAUAGGAUCAGAGCUGAUAUGGGACCUCAAGAGAUUUGGAGCAAACUUAAAAGGUUAAAGCUUCAGGUUACUAUCGUGCUCAAGAUGUUUAGGCAAAAAUUGAUGUACCGGCACUACUAAUUCCUGUGCUUGAAGAAACAUUUUCCGGUAUAUCAUCUUGUAAAAACCAAUUUAGGGUUCAUUGCAAUAUGGAAAGCGUUUUUAUUCCUUUAUCUGAAUCAUUCAAUCAUCAAGCAAUGAGAGAAACUGAGUUGUGAUGGUAGAUUGUGAAAUCCUGUUACUCCAUAUAUGCUGCUCAACGUAAAAGGAAUAAAAACAAACAUAGCGUCUCAUGUAUAGCUAAUGUUGCUGUAGAUUUCAGGUUCUAGAGGGCUCCUGGGCUUGCCACUAUGUACUGCAGAUGCAUACUAUGCAUGGCAAAUGAUGAUCAAGCCCUGUCCACAUGCCAACAAGUUCCCCUUUUUACUGCUCUAAUCUGAUUGAGUUAAUAUUACUUGCCAUGGUCAGAGUUAAUGUUAAUUGCCGUGGUUUGGUCAAGGUAUCAAUUGUUAUGUAAUUCAAACUAGACAACUAUGUCAUCACUUCUGAACGUAGAAAUGCCAAUGAUCAAGGCCAUGUCAAUGGUUCAGUGUAUUGGUUGCUUCUUCUUGAAUAUUUGUCCAAUUAUAAACAUUUUAGUUGAGUUUCAGAAGUUCAAAAACAUAAAAUUGCAUUGACGCU